UACGUAGGGUGCAGGCGUUAAUCGGAAUUACUGGGCGUAAAGCGCGCGCAGGCGGCCAAUCAAGUCAGGGGUGAAAGCCCGGAGCUCAACUCCGGAAUUGCCUUUGAAACUGAUCGGCUUGAGUACGGGAGAGGUGAGUGGAAUUCCCAGUGUAGAGGUGAAAUUCGUAGAUAUUGGGAAGAACACCGGUGGCGAAGGCGGCUCACUGGCCCGUUUCUGACGCUCAGGCGCGACAGCGUGGGGAGCAAACAGG
rnacentral:rRNA from 1 species